AGAAUUUGAUCUUGGUUCAGGAUGAACGCUAGCGGCAGGCCUAAUACAUGCAAGUCGUACGGUAAGUGCCCCCUUCGGGGGCACGAGAGUGGCGGACGGGUGCGUAACGCGUAUGCAACCAGCCCCUGUCAGGCGGAUAGCCGGUGGAAACGCCGGAUAAUACGCCACGGUCCCGUUGGGGGGCAUCCCCGGGCGGGUGAAGCGGAGACGCGGACGGGGACGGGCAUGCGUGCCAUUAGAUAGUCGGCGGGGUGACGGCCCACCGAGUCGACGAUGGCUAGGGGAUCUGAGAGGACGGUCCCCCACACUGGUACUGAGACACGGACCAGACUCCUGCGGGAGGCAGCAGUAAGGGAUAUUGGGCAAUGGGGGUAACCCUGACCCAGCCAUGCCCGCGUGAGGGAAUGAGGCCCUACGGGUCGUGAACCUCUUUUAUACGGGGACAAGGACGCGCACGAGAUGCGCGUUUGAGGGUACCGUAGGAAUAAGCGUCGGCUAACUCCGUGCCAGCCGCCGC
rnacentral:rRNA from 1 species